rnacentral:misc_RNA from 1 species
GAUGAAUAUCAAUGAUAUGGAGAUUGUCCUAUCUAUUAUGAAGGAUGCUGGAUAUAGUGAAGUUGUAGAUGUUCCUGAAAAUGCUGAGAUCAUAUUCAUCAAUACUUGUGCUAUAAGGGACAAUGCUGAACACAAAGUGUGGCAGAGACUUAAUUACUUUUGGUUUCUAAAGAGACAUUGGAAGAGCAACGUUGCUAUUGGAAGGUCACAGUCACUUAGUCCUCCUAAGGUGGUUGUUUUGGGAUGUAUGGCUGAACGGUUAAAGGACAAGAUACUUGAUGCAGAUAAGAUGGUUGAUGUGGUUUGUGGACCUGAUGCCUACAGAGAUUUACCACGAUUACUGGAGGAGGUAGACUAUGGCCAAAAGGGGAUCAAUACUCUACUUUCACUUGGAGAUUCGAACUGGACUAAUAUCAGCAUAAG